rnacentral:lncRNA from 10 species
GUAGCCCCUACGUGGUGAGUAGAUCGUCUCCACAGAAAUCAGCGGAGGCUUCCACAGUCCCUGGUUGGAAUGGAACCGGCGGUGAGGAUGAGAGGCGCUGAAGACCAGAAGACCCAGGGCGUGAACGGGGCGUGUCAUCCCUGGAGUUUCAGUAGAAUUUCAGGCCUGUCUGCUUGAGCAGCAGAGGAGGAGUUUCUGUGUGCCUGUGAGAGACUGUGUGUGUGUGUGUGUGUGUGUGUGUGUGUGAGAUGAAUGAACAGGGUUGUGUACGUGUGUGUGCGUUAGACAAAUGAACAGUGUUGUGUACCUGUGUGAAUUGUCACUGUGACUCCAGGCUCUAGGCUCUGCAGAUUCCUCAGCCCUAUCGCCUCACAGACACUUGGGAUGUGCAGCAGGUAAAAGAGAGAAGCCAGAUUCAUGGAGGCGUGAAGGAUCCCAGCAAGAAAACACAGACUUGAUCUUGAGACGAGAUUUUUGAAAUUGGUUGCGGCCUCAAGGCAGGCUCUGAGAAGACUCGAUAAAGAGUUCUCAGGAAUAGGCAUCCCUCCUGGAUAUUUCCCCCUUGGAAGCGCCGAGGAGCCAGCUCUAUGUUUGUAACCAUAGCAUUUCUAAAGCUCCAGCCCCAGGAACCUGCUGUGAAUUAGAGACAGAUUCCACCCUAGGCAUCACUGAUCUUGGCCUCUCUUGUAUUGGGAAGGUCAACACUGUUCCAGUUUCUCUCCUACUCCCAUCUGGUUGUGCUCGGUGAAGUAGGUGAGCAGUGCUACCCUUCUGUUAAAAAAAAAAAAAAAAAAAAGAUCCUGAAAGAGGAAAGAAUUUUUGCUACACAUCUGAAAGCUAAAGUCCAGGUGAUGCCUUGAUUACCUAGCUUUGGCUUCUCUGAACUCUGCUUCUCUGAUAGAGGAAACCUGAAGAGAACUAGCAUUUCUGAAACCAUGGCCCGGGUGAGUUGAUGUCUCUUUUGCUUUUCUGACUUAUUGUGAUUUUUUAAUUCAUGUAAUAUUUUCAUUUUUUUAAUCCUGAAACCUCCUAUCUCAGAAAGCUCUCUCUUGGAACCUAUUUCACAUUCCUCCCAUUCCAGUGAUGGAUGAUGUCCUCCUCAUUUGCCCUCCUUUUUUGAACUGAUUUUCACUUAUUUUCAAAUAAUUCAUCCAUCUUCUGUGUGUUCAGUCUUCUCUCAAGAGCAGUGUUAGAGCAGUGAAAGAGUGAAGUACCUUGAAAUAGUUGAGCUG